AUUGUAUGUUCUUGGCUCCUUUGUGGAAAAUUAGCUGUCCAUAAAUGUGUGGGUUUAUUGCUGGGCUCUUAAUUGUGUUCCAUUGAUCUGUGUGUGUGUUUUUGUGCCAGUACUAUGCUGUUCUGAUAACAAUAGCUUUGUAGUAUAUUUUGAAAUCAGGGAGUAUGAUACCUCCAGUUUUGUUUUUUUCCCACAGGAUUGCUUUGGCUAUUCGAGGUCUUUUGUUGUUCCAUACAAAUUUUAGGAUUCUUUGCUCUGUUUCUGUGAAAAAUGUCAUUGAGACUUUGCUAGGGAUCAUACUGAAUCUGUAGAUUGCUUUGGGAAGUAUGGAUUUUAACUAUGUUAAUUCUUUGCAUCCAUGAGAGCAAAAUAUCUUUCCAUUUCUUUGUGUCUUCUUCAAUUUCUUCCAACAAUGUUUUACUGUUUUCACCAUACAGGUCUUUCAUCUCUUUGGAUAAAUUCAUUCCUACUAUUUUAUUCUUUUUGUUGAGAUUGAAACUGAGAUUGUAUUUUUGAUUUCUCUUUCUUCUAUUUCAUUUUUAGUAUAUAGAAAUGCAACUGAUUUUUGUAUGUUGAUUUUGUACCCUACAAUUUUACUGUAUUCCUUUAUUACUUCUAAUAGUUUUUUGGUGGAUUCUUUAGGGUUUACUAUAUAUAAAAUCAUGUCAUCUGCAGAUUGGGACAGUUUUACUUUUCCCUUUCCAAUAUGAAUUGUUUUUAUUUCUUUUUCUUGCCUAAUUUCUCUGGUUAGGACUUCCAGUAGUAUAUUAUCUAAGACUGGUAAAAGUGGGCAUCCUUGUCUGCUUCCUUUUUUCACCACUAAGCAUGAUAUUAGCUGUGGGUUUCUCAUAUAUGGCCUUUAUUAGGUUGAGGUACUUUCUUUCCUAUAUGCAUUUUAUUCAGAGUUUUUAUCAUGAAUUGAUGCUAUAUCUUCUCAGAUGCUUUCCCUGCAUCCAUUGAGGUGAUCAUGUGAUUUUUAUUCUUAAUUUUGUUAACGUGGUGUGUCGUGUUGUUUGAUUUGUGGAUGUUGAACCAUCCCUGCAUCCCUGGAAUAAAUCCUGCUUGAUCAUGGUGUAAGAUCCUUUUGAUGCACUGUUGUAUUUGAUUUACUAAUAUUCUGUUGAAGAUUUUUGCAUCUAUGUUCCUCAGUGAUAGUGGCCUGUAAUUUUCUUUUUUUGCGUUGUCCUUGUCUGGUUUCCACAUCAGGGUAAUGU
rnacentral:lncRNA from 1 species